AGGGUAUUCCUUCCUCGAAUACCCCUAUGCCCGUCUGACAACGACAUGUUUCCAUUCAAGUUCAAGAGGAAGCAAUUUCCUGUAAGGCUUAGCUUUGCUAUGACGAUUAACAAGGCUCAAGGCCAGACGAUUCCGAUUGUUGGCGUGUACCUACCUAAUCCGGUGUUCUCUCAUGGUCAACUGUAUGUUGCAUUGUCUCGAGCCACCGCAAAGAGAAAUAUAAAGAUCCUCAUUGAGAAGGAGAAGGAGAAUGCCAAGAAGGAAAGCGGUAAAUCUAAGAAGCGAAAAAGACCUGCCUUGUCCUUACAAACCUCGAUGAAGAACAUCGUCUAUAAGGAAGUCCUUACAGGCUGA
rnacentral:rRNA from 1 species